GUCGGGGGUAAGGAGAUGAAACACACAACUCUCACUGUCAGAUCUCAGCUCAAACACGACCUCCUCUCUGAAGCCUCCUGACGUCUUUGGGCCAACUGACAGGUCCCUUCUCUGCAUUGUACAUACAGGUCUGCAAACACUUAUCUGUAAUUCUGAACUCCAAAAAGUUGUGAAAACUGAAAGUUUUUUCUUUUUGGUGCUAAAACUCAUUUGGUGGCAAAUCCUGCCUGAGCCAGCAUGAGGCUGUUGCCUGUCUUUAUUUCACUUUACUGCUGGUACAUUUUGCUGCAGAAAUAUGGAUGUGAUAGAUUAUGGGUGACAUCCUAGAUAGUUCCUAAAAUCCGACAAAUUCAGAAUCCCCAAACUCAUCUGGCCCGAGUGUUUCGAUGAAGGGCUUGUGGGCCUGUGCCUCCCUUGAAACAAUUGCUGGGAAGAUUUCUGUAUUUGGUUGACUAGUUUGUCUCCCAAGGAGUCUCUGAUUGUAAGAAAGGAGUUUGCAUUCUCAUUUUUAUGUACCACAAGCCCCAAAGUGUGGUCAUGCCCCUAAGUGUGAUAAAUCUUGGUUGACAGAUUAUAAUUGGAAAUAUUCACCAAGGGUCUCCCUCUUUCACUGGCACCACCUGGCAGCCAUUGUUCAAGAAGGUUGGCAGGGCAGAGCAGCAGGGGGUGGCUUUGGCCUGCAGACACUCCAGGGCUCGACCAGGUGGACCUAGCAGCGCUCUUCCCCAGGGUCAUGGCUUGAAAUGAGUAGGGAGGGGGCCUUGUUAGUGGAUGGAGUGUGGAUUGAUAACACUCUGAGGAUAAGAUGCUCCCGACCCACCCUGCCCAGACUCAACAC
rnacentral:lncRNA from 10 species